UACGUAGGGUGCAAGCGUUGUCCGGAAUUAUUGGGCGUAAAGAGCUCGUAGGCGGUCUGUCACGUCGGCUGUGGAAACCUGGGGCUCAACUCCGGGCCUGCAGCCGAUACGGGCAGACUAGAGUUCGGCAGGGGAGUCUGGAAUUCCUGGUGUAGCGGUGAAAUGCGCAGAUAUCAGGAGGAACACCGGUGGCGAAGGCGGGACUCUGGGCCGAUACUGACGCUGAGGAGCGAAAGCGUGGGGAGCGAACAGG
rnacentral:rRNA from 1 species